GGGCCGGUGGCGGAACCGGUAUACGCACGACACUUAAAAUGUCGACCGAGCAAUCGGAUGCGGGUUCGAAUCCCGCCCGGCCCACCA
rnacentral:tRNA from 1 species